rnacentral:ncRNA from 1 species
UAUAAUCAAAGGCAAACUAUUUGAAAAAAUAGGACGCAAAGUUACGGCCUAAGCAACAGGAAAGAAGUUGUAAGGUGGACGGACUACCUGA